UACGGAGGAUGCGAGCGUUAUCCGGAUUUAUUGGGUUUAAAGGGUGCGUAGGUGGUGAUUUAAGUCAGCGGUGAAAGUUUGUGGCUCAACCAUAAAAUUGCCGUUGAAACUGGGUUACUUGAGUGUGUUUGAGGUAGGCGGAAUGCGUGGUGUAGCGGUGAAAUGCAUAGAUAUCACGCAGAACUCCGAUUGCGAAGGCAGCUUACUAAACCACAACUGACACUGAAGCACGAAAGCGUGGGGAUCAAACAGG
rnacentral:rRNA from 1 species